AGAGUUUGAUCAUGGCUCAGAAUCAACACUGGCGGUGUGCCUAACACAUGCAAGUCGAACGAGAAAGUGGAGCAAUCCAUGAGUAAAGUGGCGACCGGGUGAGUAACACGUGACCAAUCUACCCUUGAGUGGGGGAUAACCUCGGGAAACCGGGGCUAAUACCGCAUAACAUCUCUGGAUCGGAAGAACUGGAGAUCAAAGGAGCAAUUCGCUUAAGGAGGAGGUCGCGGCUGAUUAGCUAGUUGGCGGGGUAACGGCCCACCAAGGCAAAGAUCGGUAGCCGGCCUGAGAGGGCGCACGGCCACACUGGAACUGAAACACGGUCCAGACUCCUACGGGAGGCAGCAGUGGGGAAUUUUGCGCAAUGGGGGAAACCCUGACGCAGCAACGCCGCGUGGAGGAUGAAGUCCCUUGGGACGUAAACUCCUUUCGACCCGGACGAUAAUGACGGUACGGGUGGAAGAAGCCCCGGCUAACUUCGUGCCAGCAGCCGCGGUAAUACGAGGGGGGCAAGCGUUGUUCGGAAUUAUUGGGCGUAAAGGGCGCGUAGGCGGUGCGGUAAGUCACCUGUGAAACCUCUAGGCUUAACCUAGAGCCUGCAGGCGAAACUGCCGUGCUUGAGGGUGGGAGAGGUGCGUGGAAUUCCCGGUGUAGCGGUGAAAUGCGUAGAUAUCAGGAGGAACACCUGUGGUGUAGACGGCUCUCUGGACCGCAACUGACGCUGAGACACGAAAGCGUGGGUAGCAAACAGGAUUAGAUACCCUAGUAGUCC
rnacentral:rRNA from 1 species